GGGCAGCGGGCGGUCUGCCGGGUCUCCGCCCCUCCGCGGCCUCCUCUAGCAGGAAGGGCUGUGGGUGGCAAAUGGGCACAAUCCAAGUGCUCCUUAUCAUUAGCCAUCGGGGAAAUGCGAACUAAAGGCACGUUGCCACACUGCCACACCUUAGCCAUCGGAAAGGAUGCACACCCACCAUCUACAUCAAGGUGGAUGGAAGCCGAGGGUAGUACGCUGAGCGAACUAAGUCAGUGGGAGGAAGACCAUCAUCAUAUGGUCUCACUCGUAUGUGGAAGAUAAGGAACAGUGCAAGGGGCCCUAAGGGAAGGAGGAGAAGAAGUGGGGAAAAAUUAAAGAGGAAGACAAGCCAUGAGAGACUCCUGACCCCGGGGAAUCAAAGGUUACCACCAGCACUCCCCGAUUAGGGCUGAAGAACCAAGUGGUGAAAGAAGAAGUUGGUAAAAUAAGCCAAUAUUUAACUAGGAUAAAAAAACCAAACUGCCUGAGGAUGUCAGAGGGCUUCCAGGAAGGGAUGGAUGGUGCUUGGACUGGGUUUUUAAUGAUGGGCUCAGCCAAACAGCACACAUCCAGAUUCUUCGUGUGUAUCUGAAUGUGAAUGGAUUCUGUUCCUUGGAGAAAACCAUUUGGGGGAAAAUAAAACUUGG